rnacentral:misc_RNA from 1 species
AGGAUUUGUGCUGUGGGUGCUUUUGUUUUAGCUAGUGGUGUGGUGCCCUGCAGUGGUUUUUUGGGAGAGAAAUAUCUGGUUAGGCUUUCUCUGGUGGCUUCUGAAUUUUUUCUUCUCAUGGACCUAGGCUUCUGAAACAGUUUUGGGUUUUAAUUGCUUUUGUUUGUUCGAGUCUUGGGCCACAAAUCAGCUCUUGUAAUUCUUUAAAUUUAAUGAAAUUUUAUUUCGUUA